UUGAAGGAUCUUGACAAGUUCAUCCAAGCACCACCUCGAAGAUGCAUAGUUUUCAGAGAAUACAAUGAGAGAAAUUCUUGAUUCUUCAAUUGCUUUGACAAGGGCUGGCGAUAUUUCUUCUCCUCUUACAAGCUCUCGAUCAAUGAAGGUGUAGAUGCCCUUAUCACACAAGGCCUUGUAUAAAUGAUCUGUAAAAUUGGUGCUUGUAUCCUCGCCUCUAAAACUCAAAAACACAUCAUAUUUCCAUGAUGAAUCAUGAGUGAAAGAAGAAGAAGAAGGAGAAGAAGAGUCUGGUUGAGUGGUCAUAGGGGGCAGAUCUGAAGGAAGUUGAGGUUCCACUCCAAAAUCAAUUGGCAAUGGGAGAGCAACCCAACUCCCCAUCAACCUCAAUAAAAAUUUGAAGAACAUUGAAGAAUUGAAGAAGAAGCAGAGAGAAUCUUAUGAGGCUUGGGAUGCAGAUAAAACUAAGAGAAGCUCAAAGAUUGGGUGUGGCAGUGGCGCUGUGGUUAGAUUUAUGAGGCUUGGCGAAUCAGUUUCCUACCACCUUCAAUGUGAAGGCGUGAUUAAGUUAAAGGUAGGCGAGGAACUUUGGUUUGAGUUUUUUUACUGAAGAAUAUAAAGAGAAGGUGCUAAGAUGGUUAGGUCUAUGAAGUUUAAGAGGGGGAGAGGAACUUGCAAUAAUUAAUGCAACUUACUUCAGUUUUUGUCUUUUCCUCAAUAAAUUAAUAUUAAGACUGGUUUGUCUUUUUCAGUUUUUGUAAACUCAAUGUGGUCCAAAUUAUUUUUUAAAAACGAGUAAUUCCAUGUGGUCCACCUCCGUUAAAUAUUUCUAAAGACACCUUAACUUUGCAACAACCAACAAGAGUUUGUCUGUGGUGCGCCGGGUGUACCUGUACAGCCCAUCACGUGGCCUUUUUUUAAAAACAAUGAAAACUGGUUCUUUUGGUUAACCAGUUAAACUAAGGAAAAUAAAAACUCCUGCUCGUUCAAAACCUAGGCUGCACACAGAUCGAUUUCGACUAUCUCCUCCUCCAUAGCUUUGCACAGCCACAGCUCUAUUUCGGUGAAUUCAUAGCUGCACAGCUUCCUACAGCCUGAAGAAGCUCCCCCCACUUCGUCUUCUCCAUCUGAGGAGCAGAUUUCAGCCAAAACCCAGAAACCCACUUCGUCUUCUCCAGCUGCUUCCUCCAUCUCGGUAAGUUCGUGUGUUGAUUUUCGUUAUGUGUAAUUGAUGGUUCUAUUUAAUUUAUUCUUCUAGUGAUUUUGAAUUGUUGUUUCAGUUUUUUCAUUGAACAAUUCCAGAAAUUAAUGAUUCAAAUUUUGUAUUUCUUUUCCCACUUUGCAUUUCUGCUGGGUUGUUAUAGUGCCUCUUGAUCUGAUUGUAUAUAUAAAUACCCAUGAGGCCUCUGAUUGUGUAUGAUUUAAUUGUGGUAGGUUUGUGAUUCUGAAAGUGGCGUGAGGUGAAGUGGGUAUCUGACAUUGAUGGCUGUAAUGUUCAUGCAAUUGCAUAUCUCUGUAUGCAAUUACUAAUAGCGUGUAUGCAAAUCCAAGUCAUUGAAUGCAAUUAGAGUAUAUAGUUUUUUUUUUCCAAAGUAUGCACGUAUCUCACAUUCAUAGUUGUAAUGUUCGUGGAAUUGCAUAGCUCAAUAUGCAAUUGCAUAGCUCAAUAUGCAAUUGCAUAUCUCUAUAUGCAAUUACUAAUAGCCUGUAUGCAAAUCCAAGUCAUUGAAUGCAAUGACAGUAUAUAGUUUUUGUUUCAAAUUAUGCAACUCAGGUGAUUUUGUGGUAGGUAGGUAGGUUUGACUGUGCUUUAGAAUAAUUUGUUAUGGGGAUUAAAGUGUUCCGAAAGUGUAAUGUGAGGAUUGGUUAAGAUUUGUAUUGGGAUUUGAAAUGAGUAAGAAUCCCGACCCAAUAGAGAAAUGCAUGGGUGGGUUGUGUGCAUUAUCUGUGCAAUGUAAUAAUCGAGGGCUGAUGCACUUGCAAGUAGUAUCGAGCAAUUGCAUAUCAGUAUAUGCAAUUACUAAGCUACUGUAUGCAAAUCCAGGUCCCCGUAUGUUUUUAAUUAAGCAAUGUGAUGUUGUGGUGUUUACGGGGUUUAGGGGGUAUUAGGCUUUGGAUUAGUAUUCAAAUUCUCGGCGCUAGAGACAAUUGCACGAUAGUGUUUUGUACUUGAUUUGUGCAAGUUAUGGAAGCUCAAAAAAGGGGAUCAACAAAAGGAAAGCGCAAAGUCGACAGUAAUGUGCAACAAUCAAGAGUUGGCCAGGAUGCAUUUUUUAAUUUCAUGUAAGUUACACGUACAUCUAAAAAUCGAAAAUGUAGUUGCUUAAUAUUAUGAUGGUUUUUUGAUUAAAAAUAAAUGAUUUACAAAAAAAAAAAAAAAAAAAAAGACAUAAAAUGGGGAAAGUGGCAAAUGCAAAGUUGGACAAUAAGGUGAGAGAUGGCAAUGGAUUGGGUUAGUUUAUUAAUUAUUUUAUUAAAAAGGCUCUUUUAAUGAGAUUUUUUUUUCCAGGUACAAGAAGAGAUUGCUAAUAAAUGGAGGAAAUUAAACAUUAAAGAGAAGGCUACAUAUGGUUCAGCCUUGGAAGGUUCGAGUGGGCCAAGGAUUAAAAUAUCAACCAUGUAAAUAAUAUAGGGCCUCCAAUUUACGGAUAUUUCGGGGGAUAUAUUAUUAUCGUCUUAGGUAUCGGAAAAAAGAAGAAGACAGAUAUAGGUAUUGAAACACAUAAUUUUGGUAUAAAACUUUCAUAAAUGUUAUGUACAUUAUCAAUGAAUGUAUUGAACAAAUAAAACUCAAGAUUUACUAAUAAUAAGAUAUACAUAUGAUGAAAUAUAAGUGGUAUGUAAUGUGUGUUAAUGAAAAGUUUGAAAAUAAAAUGUUGAUUAGAAUGAAUAAACCAUGCAUAAAUCCAUAGUUUGUUUUAACAUUGAAUUACAAUUUAGAUAAGUGUCCAUCUACAUAAAUGAAGAGCUCUAAUGAGGUUCAAACAAUGAGGAACAACCAUCUAGAUUCAUACAAUAGUCAUACCAAGUUACGUAACCCGAGCAGUUUGUAAGCCAUGUUUGAACAUGGUGCACAUAGGUCUCUCUUGAGCUCUCUACUAUCUUCCCAUAUAUGAGAUAGUUAAGAUUAACCCAACUAGUAGAAAAGGGCGGCCCUGAAAUAGUGCAAGUGGCGCCAAUGCACAGGGCCCCUGAUUUUUGAGGACCCCCUAAAAUUAUUUAUUUUACAUAAUUUAUAUUAUUAUUAUAACAACUGUAUAUAUACUCCAACGUGCAACAAAUUGACACAAAAAUUUAUUUAGUGGAGUUGGUUUCUAGUGCAUAUCCCUUGGUACAAGGCUUACAUGAAAAAUUUUAAGAACCACAUUUUAAAUAGUUUUAAAAAAGAAGCACCUGAAAAAUAUCAGGGGAAAGAUCCAAUUAAAUUAACAAUACUAUAUAUCACACCCAUACGCUUUUUCUUUAAAAUAAUAAUAAUAAUUUCUUCAACUCAAAACAAAACAAAACAACAUAAAAAAUAAAAAAUCAUGUCUUCUUCUUUCUCAUGAACUCUUAUUUUUUUUCUUACCGAACACACCAACAUUUAACUUUAUCAAAUGAACACAACGUACUCAACAAACGCAACCUUUGCGUUCGCGUGAAAAAAUAGUGUGUUUGUUUAAAAAAGAAAUUUAGUAGGGUCCAUUUUUCCGGGGAACGGGCAACUUUACCCAACGAACGCACUCCUUGCGUUUGCAUGAAUAAAUAUCCCGUUUGUUUGAAAAAGUAAGUUCAUUUGGCCCAUUUUUCCGAGGAACGGGCAACUUUACUCAAUGAAUGCAACCCCAACGUUCGCGUGAACAAAUCGCCCGUUUGUUUGAAAAAGUAAGUUAGUUGGGCCCAUUUUUUCAAGAAACGGGCAACUUUACUCCACGAACGCAACCCAUGGCGUUCACGUGAACAAAAAGCCUGUUUGUUUGAAAAAGUAAGUUAGUUGGGCCAAUUUUUCCGAAGAACGAGCAACUUUACUCAACGAACGCAAUCCCUGCGUUUACAUGAACAAAUAGCCCGUUUGUUUGAAAAAGUAAGUUAGUUUGGCCAUUUUUUCAGGGAACGGGGAACUUUACUCAACGAACACAAACCCUGCAUUCGCGUGAACAAAUAGCCUGUUUUCUUGAAAAAGUAAGUUAGUUGGGCCCAUUUUUCAGAAGAACGGACAACUUUACUCAACGAACGCAACUCAUUGCGUUCGCGUGAACAAAUAGCCCGUUUGUUUUAAAAAGUAAGUUAUUUGGGCCCAUUUUUUCAGGGAACGAGAAACUUUACUUAACGAACGCAAGCCCUGCGUUUAUGUGAACAAAUAGCCCGUUUGUUUGAAACAGUAAGUUAGUUUGGCCCAUUUUUCUGGGGAACGGGCAACUUUACUCAAUGAACGCAACUCCUGCAUUCGUAUGAACAAAUAGCCUGUUUGUUUGAAAAAGUAAGUUAGUUGGGCCCAUUUUUCAAGGGAACGGACAACUUUACUCAACGAACACAACCCCUGCGUUCGCAUGAACAAAUAGCCCGUUUGUUUAAAAAAGUAAGUUAGUUUGGCCUAUUUUUUCGGGGAACGGGUAACUUUACUCAACGAACGCAACCGAUGCGUUUACGUGAACAAAUAGCCCGUUUGUUUGAAAAAGUAAGUUAGUUUGGCCCAUUUUUUAGAAGAACGAGCAACUUUACUCAAUGAACGCAACCCAUGCGUUUACGUGAACAAAUAGCCCGUUUGUUUGAAAAAGUAAGUUGGUUGGAUAUAUUUUUUCGGCGAACAGAAAACUUUCCUCAACGAACGCACCUGUUGCGUUGGUGUGAAAAAAUACCCCGUUUGUUUGAAAACGUAAGGUGGUUGGGGCAUGUUUUCGGCGAACGGGUAACUUUUUUUAAGGAACGCACGUAUUGCGUUCGUUUGAACAAAUACCCUGUUGGUUUAAAAAAUUAGCUAUGUUGGCCUUCUUUUUCGGCAGAACGUCGAGUAUUUUUGAACGAAAGCAAAUCCUUACGUUCGUUUGAACAAACUCCCCAUUUGUUUGAAAAAGUAAGUUGGUUUGGCCAAUUUUAUGGGGAACAGAUAACUUUACUGAACGAACGCAACCCUUGCGUUCACUAGAACAAACACCCCGUUUGUUUGAUAAAAUAUUUUAGUUAGUCCAAUUUCUCGGGGAACGACUAGCUUUACUCACCGAGCGCUCCCCUUGCGUCUUCGAAGUAAAAUACCUUUUUUGUUGAGUAAAUCAAGGAGUUCGUUGGGUAAUUUGGUCAACGAACAACAUUAUUUACCCGACGAACGAGUCGCUUAGCGUUCUUUAGGUAGGUUUGUUGGGCAUAAAUUACUGAAUAUAACUUUCAUGAUUUACUACUAAUUUAACCCAAUGAAGUAUUGAGAAUAAAAUUGAACUUUGUUGAUUAUCUCCAAUUAUUCCUAUAUUGUUAAUUAAAAAAAAAUUCAAUAAAAUCAAACAUAUGAUUGUUGGUACAAAUAUAAAUUUAAAAGCUUUCAACAAAAAUUAUUAUUUAAUGGUCGAUUGAUUGAGUCACAUUGAAUUGACGAAAAAGAAAAUUGGACCUUUUCGAUUAUGAUCAAUGCCCAAUUGAUAAUAUAUGACCACGAAGUGAAGUGGAAAUAUGAGAAGUCUUCUUAUAUCCAAUCUCAUUGCUUAGCCCACAUACGAAUCAUAUUCCAAGGAUUGUUGUGCUAUUAUGAUUGUAGACUAAAUAACAUAGAUGCAAACAAUGAUUUUGGCCAUAAAUGAUGGUGAAAUAUCCAAAAAAGAACGCAAUAUCACAUGUUUGGCUUUAAGGCAUAUAUUUAAUAUCCUUUCAUAUUAUUUAAUGUUACAUAAUUCAAUUAUGUUUAACGUAUGAAAUGAUCAAUGUGCCCUCAUAUUUAAUGACAGAUUGGACUAAAUGUUAGGGAAUUAAACGGCAGGGGAGACAUUGGUGAUAAAGAAAAUUCAUAUCCGUAAUAUUAUGAAAAAAAAGGUCAUGCGAUAAAUUGAAAAUUGGAUACAAGUUCAAGGACUAAAUCAACAAUUUAACCAUGUUAAUGGUUUUUGUGGGCAUAUAUCGCAUAUUUGAUAGCACGUGUGCAAUUCUCAAUUUAUAGUAUCCAUAUGCAUAUGCCUGUAUGCAAUCUCGUAGCAUCUAUGUGCAAUCUCAUUUUACAAUAUGCAAUUGCAUAUAUAUACGCAAUUUCGUAACGUCUAUUUGCAAUUAUUAGUUUACAAUAUGCAAUUGCCUUCCGCCCUUUUUUUGGUUUUUAACUUCUUUCGUUUUUACUAGAAGGCUCAUUGGCUCACACUCUUAUAACGUAUGCAAAGAUCACCAAAUUUCCUCUUUUUGGCUAGAGGGCCUCUUUUGUGUCUGUGUUCAUUUGCAUGACAAUACGGAUAAUCUACUACUACCUAAAAGCUAUAGAAAAUUAUAUGUGAUAUCAUCUAUUUUCUCUAACCAAGACUACAUGUCACAUAAAUAAGAAAUAAGAUCUCAAAAAAGAAACAUAAACAAAGAAAACACUUCACCUAAAAUAUUUUGUAAUACGUUUAGCUCAAUUUAUAACUUGUAGAGUACACAAAUGUUAGCCCCUAAAUAUUAGGCUCUCAGAAGAAGGUGAGAAUCUCACCAAGUAUGCAUGAAAAGUCCAAGUGAGCAUACCCCUUUCUGCAAAUGAGAGGGAGGUAGAGAGAGAUUAUUCAAACACUGUGAUGGUAUCUCAAAACACAUAUUUCAGUGUAACAAAAAUGCACUUGUCUUAACUGCUCUUUUCCUGACUCCUUAGCCAGAGCAACCAAUAUAUAGCAAUUACGGCAAUCACAACAACCAAUAUCAAUCAUGAACAUCACAUUUAAACCAUACACUUACAGAUUUAGCAAUACAAUCUUUGAAAUGGUAAUGGCAACCCAAGACACUUCACCUAAAAAAAAAUUAUAUAUAUAUAUAUCAUGUCUUCUUCUUUCUCGUGAACUCUUAUUUUUUCUUACCGAACAUACCAACAUUUAAAUUUAUCAAAUGAACGCAACAUACUCAACGAACGAAACCUCAAUUGUUACUAGAUUGUUAAUGGGUAAAUAACUCAAUGACAUAGCAUUCAAGUCAAACGUUUCUUUAAACAUCACACUGUCGCUAAUUGCAUACAGGGGGUCAAAAAUUGCAUAAACUGUAUGCAAUUGCACAAAAACUAUAUGCAAUUGCACAUAAGAAAUAAUAUAGCCAAAACCAAAACCAGUUAUGAGGUUUCUUAGUUAAAGAACUCAUCUUUCUCUUUUGAUGCCAACCUCAGUUCUCCACUAACAAGCCCGAAAACUCCAAUUGGAUUCAUCAUGACCAGAGUUCUUGAGUAAUAAAACAAAUCUCAAAUUGAAAAAAAAAAAAAAGAGUAGGAAUUCAAGAAUCCAAGACUUUAAAGAAAAUCAACAACCUGAUUGUUCAAAAUUUCAUACCUUAUUUUGAAGCACAAAUCCAUAACGUCAUACAUGGAAGAAAACAAAUCCUCCAUAAAACGAAAAUUACAUGGGUUUGAUGGAGAAAGGAUCACAGUGGGUCUGAUGCUGUGAUGAAAUUAAGAGAAAAUAUUAAAAUAUUAAAAUAUUAAAAAUUAUUAAAAGAGGGAAAAAAAAAUCACCAAGAUUCAGUCCAAGGCGUUGAAUUUUUUCUCCCAUCAAAGGCUCUGCAACACAGACAUCCUCACUCCAGAUUCAAUACUAAGUCGUUGAAUUUCUACCCAAAUAAAGGCCUUUCACACCACCCCCGUCGAACUCGACUGAAUCACCCCACUCUGUCUCCUCUCCGAUGGUUCUUGCAUCGCAGUGUCGGCAGAGAGGAGAUGCAUCAGAUUCCAACUUGGGGACAAAGAUGAGGAUUGGAUUUGAGAGAGAGAGAAAGAGAGAUAUAUUGCAAAGAUGAAGCAGCUCCCAGUGCACGCGAUGUCCGAUGACUGUUGCAUCUCAGCGUCGGCAGAAGUGAGACGCCCAGAUUCUGAUUUGGGGACAUAGAUGAGGAUUGGAUUUCCAAGAGAGAGAGAUCGAUCGCAGAGAUAAGCAGGUCCAAUGCACGCCAGGGCUUCCGCACGUUGAAGCUUUUCACUUGUUUUCUCAGUCACGUGUAUGUCACGUGAUAUUUAAUAACAAAGGGCUCAACAAGUCUUCAGGUCAUUCAAUCUCAGCCCUUUAUUUUUAAGAUGCAAUACUGACCCUUGGAUAACUGGCUGUACCGAUACAGCUGAGGCACCAAAGAAUUUUCCCAACCAACAAAUCCUUUCACUGUAAUUAAAUGCAUAUCUUUAGAUUAUGUUAUCUUUACAACGACUCUUUGACUCAGUGGAUUCAUGUAUUGAUAUAAUUUAUAACUGUUGGUGUUCCUAGUCCCAUCCGCUACAGAAAACCAAUAAUGUUUAACAUUCAGUUUCUGAGAUGAGAUCUGUAGCUUUGUGAUUAAUUAGUGAUAGGAUUCUCAGGGUUAAUAUGGUCUUAUGAUCUUUUUGUGUGUUAGCUGAGCUGGCAAGGUUUUGUCAGGCAAUUGGUUAGUUAGCUGGCAAUUUGUUUUGUUAGUUAACAGCUGGUAUUUGCUUAACUGGAAAGCGAUUAUACUAGUGGGCUUAUGCUCAUUCUAAGGCAUGUGAUUGUAAAUCCAGUUUCAAUAAGAAAUAAUAGUUCUGAUUCUUUGGCAUUGGAUUAAGGUUGAAGAGUUUCUAUCAAUCAGCAGCACUUGAAUGAAACUUCUUGGUACGUAAUACUAAUUAGGAUGAUUAUCCUAAACCCACAAUUAAACACAACUUAAAUAUGUGCUUAGCUUCAUCGAAACAAAUAAUAUGUGUUUAGCUUGACCAUGCUUCUUGUGAAUAAAUAUAAAUGCAGUUAUAGUAAGGCAGAGUUAUUGUAGUUGAUAAACACAUAACCUGGGCUACAUCCCGUGUCACUUUCUUUUCGCCAGCCCAAAAAAUGAAAAAUAUCUCUUAAAAUGCAACUUUUGUAAUCUAGAGGAUUAGAGACGCAACUAACAAUAUAUAUUAGGGUAAAUUAAUAAUUUAAUAAAUAGUUUGGUAGUAUGGUGUAUUCAGUCAAUUUUAAAGUUCGUUUAAUAGCACCCUUUGUGUAAUUAUUUAACAUGCUCCCAUAUUUAUUGCUUCUCAUAAUUUCAAUAGAUUGAGUCACUGUUGUAUUCUAAUUUUUUUUUCCCAUUCCCCUCAUCGCUGUGAUAAGUUGUUUAUGUCAAAAUAUUAUUGUGGGGUGAUGGCGCCAUCAUCGUGCUUCACUGCUUUUAUCAGAAAUCACCGUCUUCUAUUUCGCAUCUGAUCUCCAAUUUCAGGAAGCGGCUUUGUGAUAACGAUCUAGGAGUCAUGGGGGUCAUGCUCUGCCCGUUGUUUGACCUCAUUACCAUCGAUGUGAAAAUUCUUAUGAGGAUUUGGUGGUCAGCUUUGUCAGGAUUCUCAAGCAGGUCGCCGAGCUCAGGUUGCCUAAGACCUAUGAUUACCAUCAGUUGCCAGCUCCCUUUAUACAGGUUUUACUUACAUUUCAAUGAAGUUGAGCUUAUUAAAGUGUGAAGUUUUUGGUAUGAUAGAGGGAUUGAAAUAAUCAGGUUUGCUUGUUUGCUGUAACGUAAUGUAGUAAUUGAAUUAGUUUGACAAUGCAGCUUAGGCUGUUGAAGAUCUUGGCAUUGUUGUGGAGUGGUGAUAAGCAAUCUAGUGAGAAGAUGUAUAUGGUAGUCUGCGAUAUUUUUAGGAAGUGUGAUUCUACCAGUAAUAUAGGAAAUGCUGUACUUUAUGAGUGUAUUUGUUGGGGAGUGGUCGAAUUACUCAUUUCAAGGUCAAGCUGCUCCUUCCUUAACUGCCAUGACAGCUUCUUAUUCUCCUGAGUAAGUAUGGAUUGUUGAUAGUGGAGCCACACAUCAUAUGGUGAGUGAUGUGUCUUAGUUGCAAAAUGUGACUCCAUGUGCUACUGAGGAAAAUGUCACAGUUGGUAAUGGGGAAAUGUUUCUAGUGCCACAUAUAGGCUUACAAUGCCCUUUGUUUUUCAUAUUCCUCAACUCAAAGUGAAUCUUUUGUCAGUGCACCAACUUUGUAAGGAUAACAACUGCUAUAGUGUGUUUGAUGUCUUUGGUUUCUUAAUACUGGACAAAGUCACUCAUCAGGUGCUUCCUCAAGGGAAAGAGUGAUCAUGGCUUAUAUCCUUUUCCACUGCUUCCUCAGUCUACAAUAUCUUCAGUUUCUUCAAUGAAUAAAGCUUACAUUGGCCAACAAAUUAAGUCCUCCCCCUAUGGCAUCAGAGGUUAGGACAUACCACUAAUGAGGUUACAAAGAAAAUGUUGUAAGCCUGGGCUAUUUCUGUUUCUGAUGAUCUUCCUUCAGCCAUUUGUUCAGCAUGUUUACAAGGCAAAAUGCAUAGGUUGUCUUUUUCUGCUAGUCAUUCUAGAGCUACUUUGCCAUUUCAAUGUCAGAGCAAGUUAGCUUACGUGGGAAAGCCCAACGGCCACACGUGCUCCACGUCACUCAAUAUAUGUUUUUCAUGUGUUAGACUUGAAAAUUUGCCACACAUGAUGGGGCGUGUGAGAAUAAAAAGGUAUAAAGUCCCACAUUGGAAAGUUGAGAAACCUAGCAAAGGCUUAUAAAGAGUUGAGCUACUCCCCCCAUUACCAAUUGGUUUUUGGGUGGAACCUCAACUUCCUUCAUGGUGGGCUUUCUUUUCAUCCAUUUUGUGCUUAGGGUAUCAAGUUUAGCUCUCAGGUUAUCGGCUACCAUUCACAAUAGUUAAACCAUAAACUCUAAAGCGCUAACAAGCGAUUCAACAUCCUAAAGUAACAAAUUGUUUUGAACAAAAAUUAAAGAUGUAAAAUGAAAACAAAAAGGAGACUUGAAAACAAAACGGACUGAGCAGCUGCUCAAGCCGCUUUCACAGAAUUCAACAUCAGCUCUAGCAGAAUGACGUGUGUACUGUAGAUCAUCCGCUCUUGAAUGGUUGACCAUAUGUAUGUAUGUAUGCAUGUAGUUUCCUAAUCUUUUUAUGAUUGAAGGCCUAGUCAGCAAGAAGUUGAAUCAGAGUUGAAAUGUCUUUUAAGUGGUUGGUGGUGGGUCUCUUUUGAAAUAGUUUCUAGAAGAAAGAAGCAUAGUACAAUUUUACUUUACACCAUUAUAAUGUUGAUAUUCAUCUAAUCAAUGAUUAGCUAUAAUGUUGUCAUUUUCAUUUUGUUUUGGCCUGUCAUGGAAGUAUAUAUCGAUUGAUAAAAAUCUUUCUUCCCUUGCAGUGUCAAUCUUUGGUGGAAGAAUUGUCAGCUUCUCACUCAACAGAUCUGCAGCAGCGUGCAUAUGAAUUGCAAGCUAUCAUUAGCUUAGAUUCUCCUGCAGUUGAGAGUAUUAUGCUGUCAGACGCAAGUUUUGAAGACAUUGAGGUCAUAUUUAAUUGCAUUAUCUACUUGUACCCUUCUUUUUUCUUUUUUUUUUUUGGCUUCUCCUUUAAAGUAUUGAGAACUAUAGUAGUUCUGCAUUUCUCUUUUCCUUGUUAUCUGGUGGUUGUUGGCUUACUGUCUGAAGCUCCUGUUUUCUAAUGGUAAAGUCUAAUGGUUGUUUAACCUUGUGAUUUCAUUAAGGCCCGUUUGGUUCGUAGAAUGAAUUUGAGGAGAAAUUAUUUUCCAUGUCAUUCCUCAAGGAAUGGGAAUGAAAGAUUCCUUUCUCACAUUUGGUGAUGCUGGAAAAAUAACCGGAAAAUAUCACUUUAUUUCCUUUCCCAUGUUUGUUUUGAGUAUGAAUGGAAAAUAAAGUUUGUAUAAAUUUUCAAUUAUAUCCAUAUUAAAUCAAAUAAAAACAGAAUGAAUUUAAUGAUAUAUUGUAAUUCUAAAUUGUUAAUGGGGAUAAAAUGGUCAUACAAAAUAUGUAUUUAAUGUUAGCUCAUUUUUCCAAACUUUCUCAUGAGGAGGGAAAACAAAACUCAAGUUGGGAGGAUGGCUUCACUUUCCCCCUUACUUUCACAUGAGCUAGGCAACGAUUUCCCAUAUCUAGACUCACCAAACAUGGGAAAGCAAUUGAUUUUUCAUUCCCAAGUCUCCUUUUCCAUGAACCAAACGGAACCUAAAUUUGGUGACCCUUUUAUUGUUAUAUGCUAAACAAUAUACUAUAACUUUAAUUUUCUCUGGUUUUUUUUAACAAAAUGUAUCUUUUGGAAAGCAUUUGUUGAGAUAUAUCAAAUAGAAUCCUUGAAGAAUAUAAAUUAGGUAUAAGGAAAGGGAACUAAUGCAUGUCUCAUUAAAAAAUGUAGUUGCCUUGUAAAUUGUUCUAAUAGGACGUACCACUUUUCCAUGUUGUGAUAAUGUACCCUUCUCUUAUGGAUACAUUCUCUUGAUGCAACAUAAUUCAGUUUUUCAGAACAUGAUUGUUUUUGUGUUUCACAGAUACGUUAUUAUGAAUCAUGGCACAACAUUAAAUAUUUUAAAAACUGUAUAGAUACAGAAGAAUAUUUUCCAAAAUAGAAAUACUAUGACAAAUGAACAUGUAUCCUAACUGACCGUGAAUGCGGAAGGAAUAGCUUUGCUUGCUUCCUUGUCAAAUAUGCCCUAUCCGCACUACAUAUGGAAUGAAGUUUGAGAAAAAGCAAGGGCAUUAGUGAUAUUUUUUAAAUACUGAACAGUCAGCCCCUAUAAAUAGGCAAGCAAAUCACUAAACGAACCCUAAAAUUAAUAGAGUACACUCUAUUACCAAAUUAUUUAUUGAAUUACUUAUUUAUCUCAAUAUUGAAUUGUGAACCAAAUAUGAUUUUAAUAGGUCCAUAAAACCCUCAAAACCCCAUUUUUAUUUAUUUUAUCCCAUCUCCUUUCUUUCUACACUCAACUUGUAGAAAUAAUUUUAUUCUCAAUCCCAUUUUAAUAUAUAAGCCAGUCAGCUAAAACCCCUAUUAUUUUUUCUAUAAUUUUCAAUUGAGAGAGUAAAAUAGAGGUGUUAGCCGGAUUUGAAAUGAAAAGAAGAAAAUAUGGAAGACAAAAGAUACACGGUAUUUGCAGUUCCUUCUGGUUAUGUUUGUUACGGCAAUAAUUUGCAAUGAGCAGCACUUCAAAUAAUAAUAAGAAAAUAAUAAAAACAACCGGGCCUCAUCCAACACCUACACCGAUUACAGGGAAUUCUACCCUAAACAAAAUGUUCCACAACCUCAAUCCCGCGCACUCAUCUCCUCCCACCUAUUGCACUCGCAGCUUGUUGUUGUCAUGGAAGUAUAUGCGGGAUGGAUUAUUAAUUACGUUGUGAACCAGUCAGAUUGGUGAUCAUUUGAUUGGAAAUAGAAGGGGAUUUUUGGUAGUUAAAUAGAGUGUACUUAGUUAAUUUUACAUUUUAAUUAAAAUAUUAAAGUGUACUUAGAUCAUAGAGUAUACUCAUUUAAUUUUAUGGUUCAUUUAGCAGCACUCAAAGAAAAAGGCCAUUGUAGAUGUUGACUGAAAAAUAAUCUGACUAGAUACCUUUCUCUGUUUAAGUAGAAAGAUGUCAUGUACUGUUUGGUUGUUGCUGUUAUUGACCUUCUGAUAUUUUAUUUAGUAAAUUUGAAACUGUUGCUGUUAUUGGCUCAUAUAAACAUUAUGAUAUAGAUCUUGUGGUUUUAGAUCAAGAAAAAUUCAGAAUCAGUUUCUGAAUGAUUAGAAUUGCUUAUUUGACCAAGAUGCAUCGUAUUACACUAGCGAAACUUAAUUUAUGCGCUGCCUUUGGUUGGUAAUACCUGGAUGUUAAUCAAGUGAUUCUAAUUGGUAUUACACGACAUGCUUUAAUUAGUUUCCCGACUUCUUCGUCCCUGGUCCUUGCAUCUUAUUUCUUCCCUUUAGUUAUAAGUUGCUCUUUUCAUGGAUUUUGCAAUUGUAUUUCUCUAAUAUGCUUGAAAACCUUGAUUUUGGAUCAUGCGGAAACAAUUUAUUUACUUAUUUAUUGAAUAAGAUUAUUUUGUGCAAUAUUAAUAUUCAUCUUCUCUUGCAGAUUGAUAAAAGCCUUUCAUUCCUCAAUGGCUAUGUCCAACAAGCACUAGAGAAAGGUGCUCAGCCCUAUAUUCCCGAGAACGAGCGCUCUGGAAUGUUAAAUAUCAGCAACUUCAGUAACCAAGAUCAGCAUGAAGCUUUAACCCGUGGUCUUAGGUUUGAGGCAUAUGAGCAUCCAAAGCCAGCAGUGCCAUCAGGAAUUCCUCCAGCUGCAGUUGCAUCCUCAACCGAGCUUGUUCCAGUUCCUGAACCAUCUUAUGCUAGGGAGAUCCGCCAGCAGCCUGCAUCAUUGCCACCUAUGUCAGAUGCAGGAUUAUCGGAACUUAAGUUACGGCUAGAUUGUGUUCAAAGAAAAUGGGGUAUGCCAACAUAAUCCUCCCCAGCAUUGUCGAUCUCAAAUUCCUCGAGUUGUAGUUCCCAGAAAUCAGCGAAUGGGGUCACACAAAUAGAUAGCAUGAGCACUUCAAAUCCAAAAGCACGUGAUUCUUAUGAGUCAAGGAGGCCCCAGGUUGAAAUUUCUCCAGAAAGGCAGAAGCUUGCCAGUUCACUGUUUGGGGGAUCAUAAAAAACCGAGAGGAGGCCAUCUUCUGCCAACCAUAAGGUGUCUAAGGCGAAUAUCCAUGCUUCAGAGAAGACCCAGGUACCAAAGGCAGCAAUUGUACACACUGAAGUUAAUCAUGAACCUGCUCCGGACUUGCUCGAUUUGGGUGACUCAACUAGUAGUACUGCUUCCACUGUAGAUCCUUUCAAGCAGUUAGAGAGCUUCUUGAUCAAACUGAAGCAUUAACUGCAAAUCAUGGUGCAGCUCGUGCUGCUAAGACACAUGAUAUUAUGGGAUUACAUGCAGAUACAUCUCUCAGCGGGCUUAGUAGCAGUGUUGGCGACCCUUUGCCGACCAAUAGGGAUGAGUUUUAAUCUUGCAUCUGAGUUAUCAAAUGCUACAAGAACUGCUCAAAGUGGGGUAACACAAUUGAAUGAGGAUGCACUUGUAAGGCAGAUGCGUGAGUCAGAAUCCCAACUUGUUUAAAGAUUUGCUUGGCUAAAACUGUUCAGAAUGGCAAACUUUCGAUCAUGAUUGUUCGAGAUUGUUUGCUUCGUGGUAUGUGUGCAUGGUCUUUCGGUGUGGCUGGCUAUAUGAUAGGAAAUACAACUCAAUUCAAACAAGUUUCAAGGCCACCAUGCAGAGCUGUAAAGGCACCAUACACCAAGAAUGGUGGCAAAAAUGAGGUAUAGGCUUUUGUAUUUGUUGCACAGUGGCAUAUGUAGAAUAUAUAUAACCAAGUUGGUGAUUUGAAUAUGUUGGUUUGAGCCAUUUCAAUGCGGAGCUUUUUCUUUGCGGCAAUGUGGGCGGUUUUGCAGCGCUCCAAGGACACAUGGUUCUACCAUGCAUAUUUGUCUACAUUUACACUGUUGUGUGCCUCUCUCUUGUUAUAAUAAUGUUGUACGAAGUGAAUUUUUGUUUUUGUGUUGUAGGGACAUUUAUUCCUGUUUGUCAUAAGUUUUACUUAGUGUUAGUUCAAAUUAUAAGUUGUAGUUAUCUUUUUGACUAUGAGAUGCCCUUGUAAUUUUUGGUGGAUAAAAUUGGACAUUGACAUCUACAAUAGCUAUCUAGUGAUGCAAUGACAAUCAUAAUGCGCUUUCGUGAACAAAGAAAGAAGUUAUAAUUCCUGGUGUCUUUUUCUUAGUUUCUAAAGCCAAAUUCUUUUUGAGUAAUGGAGCCAUUGGAGAUGUUAGCUCUACCAGGGCUGUUCAAACAGCAACUGGUAUUCAAAGAACCAAAAUCUAUUCGCAAACUAGACAGGAGUUCGAAAACAACAUAAUAUGCAUGACACUAUUGCUGCUCAUCAAGCUUUUCAUUUCAUGUACUUGCAGGAUUAUAAAAAAUAUAUAUUGAACAACUAUACCAGCAACAUGAGUUGCAGCAACUUGACGUGAUUUAGACAAAGUAUACGUGUGGAAUGAAAGCAUUAGAUAAAUCCGGCUUGCAACCAGUUUUGUUCAUCUGUGGAUAAAUGCUGGAUGCAUCAAUUGAGAAGAAAGGUAUUGCCUUAUGCAACUUUAAAUGGAAUCUCAGAAACUGUUGACGCCUCAACACACCUCUUGAUUACCAGACCAUUGCUUGGAAAUUUGGUUCGUUUCGACAGCUGAACCUGGGGUUUAUAUAAACCAUUUUUGAACUUCAUUGCCUGAAAAUUUAAGAUCGAAUGUAGAGCGCUAAGAAAAAAGAUUUAACCCAAAACAAAAGGAAAAAAAAUUCACACCCUAAAAACUACAACAUAGACCCCAGAGACGCACAACAAAAUAUUGCUAAAUUUGAAUUGAACACAAAACGCAGAUAUAUGACCAGAAAAUGCAAAGAUAUCAUUCAACAUUUAAUGGAUUUACAUACUUUCGCUCCUCGUUAAGAUCAGUGUGAUCAACCUCUCCUCUUUGAGCUUCAUGAUCACCAACGUCGACGACGUUAGCACGAUGAUCAUCAUCAAGUACCAUGAAAUCUCAUAACCGAGGCCUCUUACCAAGACUAGUCUCUAAUGCUGAAGGCAAGGAAAGCAAUUCGUUGUCUUGGUGUUGAUCAUCAUGAAUAUCAUCAUCCACUACCAUCGUAUCAGGCAACAACCACUGCCUUUGCCCACGAUCAACUGUGACAUCAGCAACCUCGUGGCCUAAUAAGUGGACCCCGCAGAGGAUUUUAAAGGGUGUGGGCAUUCUAUAGAACUCAAAUAUAAUUUGACACAUAUUACCCUGCUGCAAUCGCGUCAGUUCUUCCCCCACACCUAACUCGCUCAGAUUCAAUAAUGGAAUACACUUAAGAGCCACAUGACUUUCCUCUAUCUUUUUUUAUUUAUUUUUUUUUUAUCGGAAUACGAACAUAUGUGUCGGUUGGACCAUUUUUCUAUUGAUAUGAACACGUGACUACCUCGACUCUAUCAAUAUCAAUUGGACCAUAUGACUUUCCUUUAUUAACAACACAUAGAACCAAUCUUAACGUCUCCCAAUCCAAAUUUGGAGGAAUUUCAAAACAAACUUCACAUCGAGCUAUAACAAAUUCCUCUUUAAGUAGCGUUCCAUCUUUACAACAGCUGAACUACUUUGGUACUUCAUCACCUGAAAGAGUAAUUGUAAAUUCAGAAUAGGGAUGAGAAGAUACCUACAAUACAAUUGGUUACAAGAAUUAUCAUCUUAACCAUAUAACAUAGAGGGAGAGACAAAGAGAGACAUAGAGAAAGAAGAUGAAAGGACCCGACCCAAAUUCCACCUUGGAAUCUGAAGCGAACCCUGUGUGUGUCCUACACCUGACGGGUGCCUGGCACAAAUGACCAAAAAGCUCUUUUAUACCAAACCCAAAGACUCUAACUCGUGGCUGCAUCUUAUAACCUUAGCCUGUUUACGUACCUUUACUGAGAGAUCAAGCCACACAUAGUUCUUCCCUCUACUCAUAUCAGGCACACACUGAAUAUAAGUAUGUCAUAUUCUGAACUCCCUUAUUUUAGUUUAAGAAUAUCUCAAAACUGCAAUUCUCUCCACCCAAGUAUACCUCUAAUCCUGAUUCGGCAACUCCAUUAAUACUGUCAAUUCCCUCCUCGCAGGCCAGGCCACAAUCCUCUUAGGCCUCGGAGAUACCACUUCUAUCUGGGCCGCAACCUAUAACUAACUAUCUAUUCUCGCAGGCCGAGCCGCAAUCCUCUCAGACCUAGGAGAUACCGCUUCUAUCCAGGCUGCAUCCUAUAACUAACUAUCUAUCAUCGCAAGCCGAGCUGCAAUCCUCGCAGACCUCGGAGAUACCUCUUCUAUCCAGGCCGCAACCUAUAAAUAACUAUUUAUUCAACCUAUAACCUAAUUUAGAUAAUUCCUUUCGGUCAGAACUCGUUUACUAUAAACCUAGCCCUCGGGUUGGCGUUUCUGGAGUGUUCGGGACUUCGUUUUACAAUCCGUCGAAUCUUAUACGAUCCUGGCACUAUCUAGAUCAAUAUAUUUGAAAAUGACUACGAUCCAACAGCUCAAACAUGCUGAACCCAGAAAUCACACACUAGGCUAGAUCUGUUCGGAGUUCAAACGUUAUCCGAAUUAAGAUCCACGAAAUCCUAUGCAUUCGUGAAGACCAAUGGAUCAUUCUAGAACUGAAUGUGGUCCCUACCCUGCAGCCCACACGCCACCACACGCGCUGACAGCGCGUGGGUGGCUUGAUCAAUUUCGAUGACCAAAAAACUAUGCAAUCGUAAGCCCAACUUCCUAUCCUAGGUUCAUAACAUGAUUUGGAGACACUUUUGUUCUUGGACCUACCCCAAAAGUUGGUCGAAAGUGGCCGGAAUUGCGAUCCCAAAAUCGGCCAAACCCAAACUUGAAAAUCAACCUGUCAAACCUAGUAAAAUUACUCAAAUCCUACCCAACUAUCAGCUAGAGCACGAAAAAUAGCUAGAAAUCAAUACCUUGCACGAUAAAGUUGGUGGCCAUACGAGAGAGAUCGAAGCCGUGAAAAAUCGAACUCAAAACCGGUCGAUUUCGAGCUGAUUCCGGCGACUAGCAUGGGGGUUGCUGGCGGGGAUGAGCUGGGUGUGCAACGGAGGUGACGUCAAUCCUUUCUGGACCGGUCCAAUGGCGGACCGGGGCCAGUGGUGGUGGUUCUGGUGGUGAAGGGCUGCAGGAAGAAAAACCAGAGGGAGAGGGGGCUGUCGCGAGGAGAGAGAAGAGAGAGUUUAAAAACAAAAAUCCGGUUUUCCAAAUUACAAUUUUGCCCCUCAGUGUAUUUUGGCCGUAUUUUCUUCGUUACAACUCCAAUUCAAGCCCACUACGUGUCUACAAACUCGUACCCCCAUGCUCUACGCAACAGUACAAUUGAAAUUCUCAAAUUCCUUCUCGGUCAAAAAGUCAACUUUUAAACCUAAUAAAAGGUUCGGAGGGUAUUUUAGUCCUUUCUUUGAAUAAAAUAAUAAUUAAGAAUUAAUUAAGGAACAGGUUGUUACAGAAGAGACAGAAACCUGAUCCAGAAUACAAUGUGAUGUCAUAGCCACGUAGUCUAAUGCAAUUUAUCAAAUGCAGAUACUCAACCUCCGAUGAUAGUGGUAGUUUUGGAAUUUUCUCCAAUGAUGUGCAGUUAUCCGGUAAUACCGCAUAUACUCUUGGUGGAAGCACUUCUUGUGGAAUUUCUAGAAGACUCUUGCAAUCAUGCAAGUCAAGCUGGUCCAAGCUCACAAAUUUGCUAAUGCAUUCCAGAAUCGUGACAAAAUUGUUUCCAGAUAGAUCACGAUAUCGUAAUGUGGACCAGAAAUAUAGCAGCCGUAAUUCAAGCCCAGUAAGAUUGAAGCAUCUCUUAAGAAUCAAAUCUAGAAGCCCAGUAAGAUAUGCAAUUGAUAGAGGCAAUUCUCUUAUGCCACUUCCUGCCAUAUUCAAUUUCCAUAGUGAUUCCAUCUCGAUUUCUAUUUUUGGGAAACUCUUAAGCCUUUUGCAAUGUAAGUGUUGUUGCAAACCUCGUAAGCUUAACGCAUCUACUAAGAUUCAAUUGAACAAGUUUAUCAAGGAGUCCAACAGAAUCAUCAAUCUCAACCAAACGUCUACAGCCACUUAGAAUCAAGUAUUUUAUGUUUGGGAUUCCGGAUAAGUCUGAGAUUUUUUCUAAGAAUUGACAACCACUUAAAUCCAUGGAUGUCGGGUUUGACAAAUGCUGUGAGACAAGAACACAAAAACAGAAAAUAAUUAAUCACAAGCUUCAAAAGACAAAAACUUAGAAAACAAUUUUUGUUUUUUUCCUUCUAAAAUUAACAACUCUAUUUGAAAUUAUACAUAAUAGAUGAAAAUAAUUUCAAAUACAUACCUUAAAUCCCUCCAAGUGUCUAAUAUGAUUGCCAAGCAUAUUGAACACAACCAGACGAUUUCCUUGAAAAUUGGGUGGCAAAGAUUGUAACUGACAACUAGGCCAAUCAAUAAAUCUUAACGUGUUGGGCAGAUAGUUAAUGUCCCCAUGUAGAGAUGCAUUAUGGUUUAUGAAAAUUUGAAGAUUUACCAUAUUACGGAAGCAUUCUGGAUACAAAAUUAUCUCAGCUGGUUUUGGAAGCUUCACCAUGAUGCCUUUAAUAUUUCUUGUUCCCUAAGAUGGAAAAGCACUAAUUAGGAAACGAAGUCAUUGUACAAAUCAAAAUGCAAGCACAUUUUGUUAAGAAAAUUAAGGUAACAUAAGGUAUUAUUUCUUGUCAAAUUGAAUAUAAUAACAUAUGUGAUACUUACUGUACUUUUCAUUAGAACUUGUUUGACAUCCUCGUAAAACCACAAUCUACUACGCUGGCCAGGAUCAUUGGGGGAUUCUUUGUGAACUAUAUCCUUGCCCAUGUUUGCUAGCAAUUCGUGCAUUAAAAUCCUACUCCCUUCAAUAGUUAUCAUUGCCUUAUCAACGAAUUCUUCAAUGAAUUUUUUGGGUACUAUUUGUAGCACAUAGUCCUCAUAUUCACCCUUGAAGAAACAUGCAAUGUCGAGAAAAUAUUCUUUUGCGCGAUGAUCCAAGGCAUCAUAACUUUUUUGAAGUAUUCUUUCAAUAUGUGUAAAGGUUCUCCUUCGUAACCAUGUAAUAUAACUUGCCAACGUCGUAUAUCUAUACCACGAAGAUAAGAACCUAAAAUUGCUAGGGCUAGUGGAAGGCCAUCAACCAAAGCUAUUGCACAUUGUGCGAGUUCCAAAUUAUCUUCUCAAGGUUCACUUCUUCGGAAUGCAUGCCAACUGAAAAGCUCAAGAGCUUGGUUGUAGUCUAACUUCUUCACCUGGUAUAUCAACUCAAUUUCAGGAUUGUCUAGCAUUCUCCUAUUUUUUGUAGUAAUGAUUACUCUACUACCACUACAAGGAAAAACCCUUUUGGCGACCACCGGUUUUGGUCGCUAAAAGCUGUCAAUUCGUCGCCAAAAGCCUUUAGCGACGAAAGAAUUUCGUCGCUAGCUUGGUCGCCUAAGGCUCGUGGCUGAAAGUAAAAGUGACAAAAGGUGACGAAAAAAAAUUUUCGUCGCCAAAACCUUUAUGCGACCAAUUGGUUUCGUCGCCUUUCACUAAUUAGUUCGUCGCCUAUAAAGACAGGUUCCCGCAAAAAUACCAAAAUUUGCCGCGAACUGAAGAAGGAUUAGGCGACCAAUAGAUUGGUUGGUCGCCGAUAGUUUUUGGUGACUACCAGAUUUGGUCGCUAAAGCUCGCACAGUUGGUCGCUAAAAUAUGUAUAUUUUGUGUUUUUAUUUAUUUUAUUUAUAUUAUGUUUUGUGAUAAUUUAACCUUUUGUGCAUUAACAUAUUGUAAUUUCGAAAAACAAUAAAUUUAGAUCAAUAGAUCAAUAGGAAAUUACAUGAAUACAAAUUUCUCUCAUUCAAAAGUACACAAGUGUACUAGUCAUUCAAGUACACAUAACAUAUCCAAAUUCCACUGAAAGACUGGAGGCCAAGCUCCAUAUAUUCUUGCCCUUGGUAAACCCAAGUUCUGCAAUCAUUAUUUCCCCACUCUAAGACUAUUACCAAGCUUGUAUACUAUUUUGAACAAAACAAAAUACAUGUAUACUAUGCCUUUUGUAUCCUCAAGUUUUGUAGUCAUGAUCUUUAACACCUGUGGGAUAGGGGCUGUGAUCUAAUAUCGUGGAAUUCCCAAACACUCCCAAUUGUUUGCUUGACCUUCUCAAACUCAUCAUCUUCCUUUACAAAAGAAACAAAAUAAGGAAAUAUGCUCAAGAAGAUGCCAAAACCAAGAAAAUUAAAAUUAACAUAUAUAUAUAUAUAUAUAGAGAGAGAGAGAGAGACCAAAACUGAAAUUCACAAUCUUAACUAAAUAAGCCAUCAAAAAAGAGUUCGACAUAAGAAAACUGAUUGCUGGUCUUCAAUAAACCAACUUUAAAAAAUUGAAUUCAUUUUUCAUAGCUCUCAAUAUCGAUUGUCAAAGCAUACCUUUGUGAUAAUAACAGAAAUCAAAUCAUCAAUUACCACAAAUAAAGAAGGGAAACAGUUACGAAAAACCAAUGUAAAGACUAAUAUUAUGCAUGGCACAAACCCAUUAGAUAACAUAAAUCAUAAAAUCCAAAGUAUAAUCCACACCUUAAAUGGAACCAAGUGUAAUAGGAAGAAGAGGUUCUUACCUCAAAUGGUCCUCUGUCCAAAACCCCAAACCAAAUCCUUCCACCUCAAAUAAAUUUGACAUGGAAAAACAGGAUACUACCCCGGUAAAGUUAAAGACACCUAAAUGACAUUGUUCUAAACACAUUAUAAGAUAAAGCGAACUGAAGGGUAGAUGGUCUGGGGGCAGAGAGUGGAAAAUAACUCAAGCCAUCAGAAAGUUUUGGGGAAAGAGAGUGGGUAUGCUUAAAUGAGUACAUAGAGGUUACAGAGCUUUUUCUCACAAAGGAAGCAUCUCAUAUUCUAUUCAACCUAUUUAGUGAACUAAUAACAAUAAUAACAAUAGUGCAGAAGUCCUUGGCAGAGCUAUGCAGGUAUUUUGAUUUAGGACCAGCUUUAAUUUAAAAUAUAAUUCUUUCUAGUGUUAAAAAUUAAUAAAAACACAAAGACAAUGAUAUAUCUAAUUUCUCAAACAGAAAAAUUAUGAUGUGGACCAAAGGGGCAUCAGCAAGGUAAAAUGAAAACAAGCUGCAAUACCCAAGCACCUUAAGACUUAAUUGCACUUCCUAGAAAGAAAGAACUCUAACCCACCUGUAAUGCCAAUGGCAUAUCAUUUGAAAGUUAAAGCACAAAACACUACCUUAUCAAUCUAAAUCACUAUAAUCAUCACUGUGAUUACUAGAUUGCCAUCAUGUUGUAAUCAAUCACAACCUUAACCGGAAGACCUCAGUGCCUAACAAGAUUUCUUCUUCUUAUUAUAGUUCAUCUUGCACAUUACAAACACAAAAAUAGGAGCACCAUACUACACUGAAAUAAAGAGAAAAAGAUCAACCUUGUUUAUCUUCAACUACACACUGUUUAGCUAACAGUUUCAAUUGGAUAAUGGGAACAAAAUUUUAAGCAAAAAUGAGAUAUACCUCUUUUCGUUAAUGAAUAUAACUCUUAAAAAUCAGUUUAGAAGUCACUCUCCUUCACUCCCUUUUCCAAAUCAAGGUCCAAGAAAUUAAUAUAGGUAUUUGCAGUCAUCAAAUAAGUUCAUGUGUAUAACAGAUUCCUAGAAACUUAUUGCUUCAAAUGAGAAUUUGGUUUGGUUUCAAACAACAGAAAGCAAUUCCUUAUAGCUAAAUCUUCUAGCAAAAUCAAAAUGGCUACUGCUACAUCAAACCAGAGAAAAAUAGAAAAUCCAAAUCAAAUAGGCAAUGUAUGUUUUUAAAUAGCUCCUCAACUUGAUUGCCAAUUCACAAUCUCCAUUAGCCAAAAAUGAGAGAAAAAUUUCAUCUCAGAUGUUUGAAAAUCAGAUACGCAAGUUCCUAGUCAUGUUAGACCCACUUCAACUUCAAAAUCCUAGUCAUGUUAGAAAAACUUUCCCAAAGGACAUACGUAUAAUGUAUAACAGCAACCUUUAGAAUACUCGCUUCUUCUCGGUUGAAAUUUAAACACUAGCAAAAAGAUCUUUUAAAAUGGAAACAGGGAAUACAAAAUUACAUCAAUAACAUAUACUUAUUCACAGUACAUAACCAAAUAUCUCUUGCAGACUAGAGACCUUAUCAAUUUAAGUGAAUUCAUUGAAGUCCUCCGAUAUAUGAAAAGAGAAGGAAAAAAAAAUUAUAAUGCAGGGUCUUUAAAAGUUAAGUUUCAAAAGAAUAUGAGCCAAACAAGAAUUUUUAAAAGGCACAAGAAAGAAAUAAAAUGGUGGCACAAUUUUUUAUUUCUAAUAAAGAGAGGGAAAACAAAGGAUGCUGAAACCUACCAUCUACAACAAUAGAUUCACAGCCUAGCGUUGGUCUCUUGGUUGUCUGAUGGGGCCUUCAAGUCUUUAAUAGCUACAAUUAUCCAUAAUGGAAAAUUCUCAAAUGGCAGUGCUCAAUCAAGGUUGCUUCUCUUUUAUUUGUUCUCACAGUUUACAUAAAUAAAAUAUAAAAAGACCUUAAGAAUUAAGUUCUUGAAUGAAAGCUUAACAAAGAAAUCUGAAAAAUGCUGAAUCACUGCAAGAUCCAGCAAAGAAACAAAGCAUCAAUUACAAAACACCACCAGGCAACGCAAGCACAAGAAAUCUUCAUAAUAAUAAUAUAUAAAAAAGGUAAAUCUUAACAUUUCCAUGAUUCCAAACUCGUAACUCAAAAUAUUCAGAGAAGUUUUAAUACCUAACAUAGAGACAGCAGAUGAGAAGUGGUUGAGGGGUGGUCGACCACAUCGUUACUAAGACAAAAACCAACUAAAUUUUAUUUUUACAGAAUCAAAAUCAAAUAAUUACAGAAAAAUAGCUAAAUAAACAAAAAAUAAUAAAAGCACCUUUGAAUCAGAGUUGGUAUGUGGCUGAGCACAUUGCAGAGAAUCUCUAGUAUAUGUUGUUGUAGCAGCAAGUGGUUGGCAUCGAUGAAGGGUGAUUUUGGGAAAGAGAGUGAGAAAUAAGGACCAUGAGAAAUCUGAAGGGGGAUGAAGAGAUAGUGGGUAUAUAAGUGAUUGGCCGGCAUCGUUGGAAGAUUUCAUUGCGAGCGUUCGUGGAGGACUUAGUUGAAGGCAUCGGUGGUGUGGAAGACGGUGGAGAGAGUGGAUACGAGAGAAGUAAAUUGGGGGAAGUAACGGGUUAGGGAAAUUUUUUUAAUUUAUAGUCUCCCAGAAUCAGCCACCAAGCUAUUUGGUUGCCAACAUGUCAAAUAAGGAAAACGACACAGUUUUAAUACUUUAUAUUCUUUUUUACAGGAACAGCGACCAAAAAAAUUGGUCGCCAAGUUUCAAGAAAUAUUUGGGCGGUAUCUCACAAAAUAUUUUCGCGGCAUCUCAAAUUUAGAGACGACGCAAGCAACUUUAGAGACGACAUAAUUUAGUCGCCAAUAAUUUUCAAGCUUAAAGGCGACCAAUCUUGUGAUUGGUCGCCAAUUCCUCCCCUAGCGACCAAAUCUUUUGGUAGCCAUUCGGACAUAUUUUCUGGUCAAUUAGUUAAUAAAUUUGACGAAAUUAUUGGCGACGAAAUAAAAAACUUUGUCUCCCAUAACCUUGCUUGGCGACCAAAUUUGAGUUGGUCACAAAAGAUUUCGUGGCGAAAGAGGUUUUUUCUUGUAGUGUACCCGCACCAAACCAAUCAUCUCCAGCGAAUUUGUCUAACUGCUCUAAUUCAUUCACAUCGUCAAGAAUUAAUAGAAUCUUUUUAUGACUCAAACGUUCUUUUAUAACACCAAUUCCUUCAUCAACACUCCGAAUUCAACAAGAUUUUGCGCGACGAAUACAAGUUCGUUGGGCAAAAUGCACUACAGCGACAGAAAAAAAGUUUCGUCGCACAAAAUAUUGAAAACUUGCGCGACCAAAUUUUUCGAAGCGCAAAACCUCUUAGCGCAACAGAAAUUUAACCUCGUCGCGCAAAGUGAGGGAAAAAAAACCCGAGUUUUUUGUUGGCACCAAACACUUGCGCGGCAAGAAGAAUCGUCGCAUAAGAAAACCUAGCGCGACGAUGGGACACUUCGUCGCGUAAAGGUGAACACAAAACAGUGGAUCCCGUUAAUUGGCUGCGAAAACUUGUGCGGCGACAGGUUUCGUCGCAAAAGACAGCUUAGCACGACGAAAUCGUUUAUUGUCGCGUAAGAAAACGAGGGAUAUUUUUUUUUGGCGCCAAAAUAAUUGAGGGGGAUUUUUUUUUUUUUGCGUGACGGAAGUAGUUUUCAUCGCGUAAAGUUUGAUGUCGGUACAUUCUUGAGCGACGGAAUGUUGUUUUUGCGCGACAAUAAUUAGAAUUUGCGUGACGAAAGUUUGUGCAACAAAAAUGUCAUGCGUGGCGCAAAAGUUUGAUGUUGACAAGUGCUUGCGGGCCGAAAAAAAUCAUUUUGUGCGACGGAAAAAUGGUUUUUCGCGACUACAGUUUGCGUGACGAAAUCAAUGGUUCAUCACGCAAAGUCCUUCUUCUUCAUAUUAGAAUUCUGCCAUUGCAGAGGUAGAAUGCAAAAAAUAUAGCAUUCUGCCUCUCUCUCAACCUCUCUGCCACUGCCUCUGCUGGGAAUUCAGUACGUUCAUUGGGUAACUAUUUUUUGUCGUUAGUUUAAAAGUAUUAAUGUAAAUUCGUACUAACGCUAUUAAUUUUGUUCUCGUUAGGGAUAUUUGUAAUUAGUGAUUGGUAAAGAACGAUUGAGAAGGUAUUUUAUUCGUUUUAUAUAUUAAAAAUGUUAAAGUUAGUUUGUUAUGUUUAUAUAUUUUUUUUUGUGAAGUUAUAUUUAUAUUAUUCUGUUAAAUUGUGCGUGACGUAGCACAAUGUGUUGUGAUGUAGGAAGUUAAUUGAAAUUAACUUUGUACUUUUAUUUGUAUAUUUAGUAACACUUAGUUUCCCGUUUGAGAUUAGUUGGAUUUCGUACAUGGAUGCGUAAAGCAUGACUGCGGUCUAAUUAAUUCUUGAAUUGUCCCAGUAUUUGGACAGUUUGGUAAUGCAUAAUAUUGUCACGUAAUCUACGGCUACAUGAUUAGGUUUCGAUUGUGGAGAUUUCGGUGUCAUCUCGGUACGUUCUUCGGGUGGUACGUAGGUAUUUAUAACUAUGCCCCCCUCAAGAACUGUAUCGAGAGGUUGCCGAAAUUCAUCCAUGUCGAAAUCUAAUCUCAUGUAGCCGUAGGUUACGUGACAGGACUAUGCAUUCCCGAAUGGGAUAGGGCCCUUACCGGAGGCAUAAGGUGACAUUAUAACUUCGUAUGAAGUUGUUGUGAUUGUUGUGUUGUGAUUGUGGUUUUAGGAAUUAUGAGCAGAAGGUGGAUACAGAACCCGAAUAGAUGCGCAGACGAAUACUUGGAUGAAAUCGAGGAUUUUAUUGAGUUUGAACGUAGACACAACCAGGGUGCAACUAGAAUCCGUUGUCCUUGUAGGAGGUGUAAUAACACGUUGUGGGAGACAAUUGAAAAUGUUGGAUUUCAUUUAGUAAGGAAUGGAAUGAUUGUGACAUAUAGCAUUUGGAACCUUCAUGGGGAACAAUUAGACCAUGCUUCGUCUUCAAAUGCCACAAGAAUGGACAAUGUUGAACCUAUUGUGGAUCCUAAUGAUCAAGUCAUGGAUAUUAUACAGAAUGCUUUUCCAUUUGCAUCGACCAACAUCAAUCUUGAAAGGGAAGAUGACGUACCUACACCAAUAGACAGUGCGGAGUUUGAACAAUAUGAAAAACUAUUAAAAAAUGCCAACCAAGAGUUAUACCCAGGGUGCAAGAGCUUUUUUGUUCUCACGGCCAUUGUAGAGCUAAUGCAUGGAAAAAUAAAGUAUCGUAUGUCACACUUGUGUUUCGAUUACUUUUAGGGACUUUUCAAGAGAAUGCUUCCGACGGACAAUUGUUUGCUGAAAGACCAUAAACACGCGCAGAAGGUGUUGAAUGGUCUUGGAUUGGGUUAUGAAAAAAUUCAUGCUUGCAAAAAUAAUUGCAUGUUAUUUUACAAGGAGCAUGAAACGUUGGAUACAUGCCCUAUAUGCAAUGAUCGAGGUUCAAAAUGACAUCUCAGAAUAGAAUGACUAAGAUCCCACAAAAAGUCAUGCGUUAUCUGCUCCUAAAACCUAGGUUGCAGCGAUUGUAUACGUCGACGCAUACUGCCACAUACAUGAGAUGGCAUAAGAAAAAACGGGUAGACGAUGAUGUGAUGCGGCAUCCUGCAGAUAGGAAGGCAUGGAAAGAGUUCGAUCGAACGUUCCCCGAGUUUGCUGCUGAUCCCCAAAAUGUGAGAUUGGGACUUUCAACUGACGGAUUCAAUCAGUAUGGGGUUCUAAACCAACACCACAGCACUUGGCCGAUUCGUAUUCUCAUAUAAUUUGCCGCCUUGGAAAUGCAUGAAAAAAGAAUACAUGAUGAUGACUGUUUUGAUAACUGAGGAUCCUGGGAGGUCAAUCGAUGUUUACUUAAGGCUGCUAGUUGAUGAGCUGAAGGAUUUAUGGACAAACGGUGUUCGCACGUACGAUAAAUCAACUGAGAAGAUGUUCACUUUUCAGGCAGCAGUUAUGUGGACUGUGAAUGAUUUUUCAGCAUAUGCAAUGGUUUUUGGGUGGAGCGCAAAGGGUUAUAUGACAGUCCUGUAUGCAAGGAAGAUGUAACUUCUGGUCGGCACGAGGGAAAAGUUUGUUACCUUGCUCAUCGAAGAUGGUUGCCAUGGGACCACGAGUGGCGGGAAAAAGAUAAAGAGUUCGACAGGAACACAGAGCGUCGCCUCGGACCUAGAGAAUGUUCUGGUGAUGAGAUCUUGGAACAGAUUAACUGUUUGGAUUUUGCUCCGUUUCAGAAAAACAGUUAGUCGGACCAGACCUUCUACACAUAUGAACUGGACGCACAAGCCUAUGUUUUUUGAGCUCCCAUAUUGGUUGAAACUCAAAUUGAGGCAUAAUCUAGAUGUAAUGCAUGUUGAGAAAAAUGUAUUCGACACAUUGGUGGACACAAUUCUAGAUAUCGAGGGCAAGACAAAGGACACAAUCAAAGCCCGUCUUGAUUUGGAAAGAAUGGGCACACGAAGGGGUUUAUGGAUGAACAAGGACAGUGAUAAGGCUAGAAGGGAUCUCGCAUUCUUUUCUAUGAAAUUGAAUGACAAAAAAGAGUUUCUAAAGUUUGUAUCGUCUGUAAAGUUUCCUGAUGGGUAUGCUUCUAAUAUCGCACGUUGCGUGAAUGUUGACGGGGGUAAAUUUACUGGACUGAAGAGCCAUGACUGCCAUGUGUAUAUGCAACGCCUACUUCCUGUGGGUAUUCGACAUCUAUUGCCGGAAGAUGUUGUGAAGCCAAUCAUGUUGUUGUCUAGAUUUUUUUCCCAACUGACGACAAAAGCAUUGCGAAAGACAGACAUGUUUCAGUUGCGCCAUGACAUUGUCCAAGUCCUAUGCAAGUUUGAGAUGAUAUUUCCUCCAGCUUUCUUCACAAGUAUGAUGCACGUGAUGGUUCACUUGCCAGAAGAGGCAUUGCUUGCUGGUUCUGGCAACUAUCGCUGGAUGUAUCCAAUAGAAAGCUAUAUAAUCCUUAUCGUUUGUGUAUGCAUCAUUAUCACAGGCUUGCUAAUUUGUAUCAUAUUGUUUUAUUUUGACAGGCUUCUUGGAGAGCUGAAGAAAAGUGUACGCAACAGGGCGAAGCCCGAAGGAUCAAUUAUAGAGGCUUGGGUUCAAUAUGAGUCGCUUACUUUCUGUGGAAUGUAUUUAAAGAUGUGGAGACGGUUUUCAAUUGUCCUCAGUGCAAUAAUGACGGAGGUAUGAGAAAGGAAAAACUUUCUGUUUUUGCCCAAAGCGCACGACCCUUUGGAGAUCCUGGACGAGGAGAGUCGUUUUCUAGAAAUGACAUGGAGGUAGCGCAUUGGUUCGUACUGAACAAUUGUGAUGAGAUAAUGGCAUACUUAGAUGAGCUUUGGAUUCUGUAAGUUAUAAGUGUUUUUGUAUUUGACAAAUAUAAAUUGUAGUAUUUAAUUUUGUCAGACUAACAUGUGAAUAGUUUUGUAUUAUAUUAGGUGAAUAAGUUGAAAUCAUCGAAUUCCCCCACUUACAGUGAUGAGUUAUAUAACUUGGCAUUCGGCCCGAUUCGCGCUGAAUUAUUUUCGGGUUGUUAUAUUAACGGGGUCAAAUUUUUAGGGGCUGAACGAGAUGACAAGUUGUGUACGCAAGACAGCGGUGUCCAUGUCCAAGGUGGAGGCUAAAGUACGAACAUUGAUUUCUAUGGCAAACUCACAACUAUCGUUCAAUUGCUUUACAAAGAUCGAUACCAAGUGAUCAUGUUUAAGUGUCGAUGGUUUGAUAGCAACCCAAAUAGGCCGGGAAGUGUUAAAAUCGAUCAUGGCUUACUAUCUGUGAACAUUAACAUAACUUGGUAUGAUGACGACCCUUACAUUUUGGCAAACAUGGCAACACAAAUUGUGUAUCUAGAUGACCCUAAAGCCGGGAGCAGUUGGAAAGUUGUUCAGAAGAUGCAUCAUAGGAACGUGUAUGCUAUACCAGAACUACACCCAACUGACAACGACGUCGACAAUGUGGCUGACCAAUGUUUAGAAUCUUCAAUGGAAAAUCAUACGGAAACACUUCGAGAUAUACAUGUUAUACAAGAACCGUUUCAAAUACAAGGAGCGUCUUCCAUCGAAAUACCGAUUCAGUCAAUUACAAUUGACCUCGGUGAUCUUCCGAGAUUCGAUGUUGCAGUGGGCCCAAGCAACGAUGAUGAUGUAGUUAUAGAGGAGGAGGAGGAGGAUUGGGAGACCGAAAGUGAUGAUAGCGAUGAUAACGAAAGUUAUUAUAGUUCAUAUGAUGAAUAAUGAAUUUUUUUGUAAUUUUACUAUGCUAGUGUACAGAUUUUGUGUAAUACAAAUGUUUGAAUAUAUGUAGUUGUUAUAUCCAAACCUUAUAUAUGGGGAGAAAUGAAACAUUAUUAAAAUAAAUUUAGUUAUAAAACAUUGGUAAAUCAAUAUAUCCAAACCCUUUUAAUAAUAAAUUUUAAAUUUAUUUUGACAAAACACUUUUAAAAAAAAUGAAAAUGAUAAACAAUCUAACCUAAGGGGGUUGUAUUCAAUUCUAACUUUGAUUGACUUUUCAUGAGUUUUUGAAAGUUUAUCACUUCACUUUAUAAAAGAAAAAGAACAAGAGCGAGUUAGGUCAACGCAACAACAACCGCGUGAGACAUUAUUAAAUAAAUUGACAUACACAAAAAAAUGAAAAAUGAAAAAAAAAAUUUGUUAUACAACAUUGAUAAAUAAAUAUAUCCAAACCCUUUUCAUACAAAGUUUGAAAAUUAUUGACACAAAACAUUUUUUAAAAAUGAAAAUGAUACACAAUUUGACCUAAAUAAGUAAAUGGCGAGAAAUCCUUGCGUGACGAAUUAAUCCUCGUCGCGCAUAGUUUGGGCAGCCCACAAUACACUCAUCGCGUAAAAUUAAAAUAUUGCGCGACAACCUAACAUCCGUCACGCAAUGAAAUUUUGCACGACGACAGGAUAUCUCUCGUCGCGCAAAUAUAUAUUAUUUUAUAAUAUAAUAUAUAUACACAUAUAUAUUUGAAAUUGACGAUCGAGUUAGUUCAUUGUAUUCAUAUAGGGUCAAGGAGUGUAGUUGUAAAAAAUCAUCAAAAUCGGAAUUAAAAUAACCGUUAAAUCAUGACUUUUCAUUUAUAACCGUUGAAAAGUUUUGUCCCGUUACUUGAUCUCUGAAUGUUUUUUUUUUUUUCGAUUUUUGGGGUCUAAGAUCUCGAAGUAUAAAUAAACAAGUUUGACGGCUGGAUUACUGAAACUAGUUUGGUAGAAUGCGUAUGCCAUCAAAACCAUAUAUUCACUAACAAUGAAGAGUUUAUUUAUACUUUCGUUAAAUAUAACAUAAGAUUAUGUGGUAUCCCCCUAGUGUAAACAUCUUAAAUUGAAGAUCAAAUUCAGUAAUUGUAUUCAUAUAGGGUCAAGAAAUGUAGCUGUAAAAAACCAUCAAAAUCGAAGUUAAAAUAACCGUUAAAUCAUGACUUUUCAUUUAGAACCGUCGAAAAGUUUUGUCCCGUUACUUGAUCUCUUAAUGUUUGUUUUUCCAAUUUUCGGCGUAUACGAUCUCGAAGUAUAAAAAAAUAAGUUUGCCGGUUGGAUCAUUGAAACUAGUUUCGGGUUUAGGGUUUAGGGUUUAGGGUUUGCGCGACGAAUAACGUUGAUUCGUCGCACAAAGUGUGCAGAAAACAGUCUUGGGCAACGAAAUUAUUGCUUCGUCAUCCCGCAAUCUCAGUCAGACCUUUCACCCUCUUCCUCCUUCAACACUUGGUCCAAAUUUUUUGUGAGUGUACAGAAAGCAGACUUGCGCGACGCUGUCCCAUAUUCAUCGCACAAUCUCUCCUGCCCCAAUAAACCCUAAACCCCAAAUUUUGGCGGAAUUACAACAUUGCAUGACGCUGUCCCAUAUUCGUCGCGCAAUCUCGGCAGACCUUUCACCUUUUCUCUCUCCCUCAAUAAACCCUAAACCCCAAAUUUUGGCGGAAUUACAACUUUGCGCGACGCUGUCCCGUAUUUGUCGCACAAUCUCGACCGACCUUUCACACCUAAUAAACCCUAAACCUCAAAUUUUGGAGGAAUUACAACAUUGCGCGACGAAUACGGGACAGCGUCGCGCAAAGUUUUCACUUUUCUCUCUCCUGCUAAACGCUAAAUCCCAAAAUUUUGGCUGAAUGACAACCUUGGGCGACGAAAUACAUAUCUAUGCGUCGCGCAAAACCGCGUAACCCUGCCCUGAUACCAAAUUUUGGCUAACUCACAACAUUGCGCGACGGAAAUUAUACGUCCUUCGUCGCGCAAGAGUCAUUUAAAAUAUUUUGCGUGAACUUUUAUUUAUUCGUCACGCAAAAUCGAAUAAAAUUUCAGAAACAACGUGAAGGCCUCCUUCUUCCCCAGUUUCUGAUUUUUGCCCUAACUCUCUCUCUCUCUCUCUCUCUCUCUCUCUCUCUCUCUCUCUCUCUCUCUCUUUCCGCUGUCACCUCAGCCCCCUACCCCACUGGAAUUUGGACCGCACCGCCACAACCUUGGAACCUCGAAGCUUCCCCGCCGUCACCGUCGAGCCUGCCGCCGGAAUUUGCUCGGUUUUCACCGAAUCUUCGCCGCCCUCGUUCUUUCUCCUCCGGCGACCAAAUCUGACACCUGAGGUAUGGUUUCUGGACUAUUUUUGAUGCUUUAGCUGAUGGUUGGGUAGGAUUUCAUUAAUUCUUGUAAUAGGGCAAUCGAUUUUAAACCCUAAUUUUUGGCCGGUUUUUGAAUUUCAAUUCCGGCCACUUAUGACCAUUUUUCGGGGUAGGUCCGAGAACAAUAGUGCCUCCAAUUGAUGUUUUCAACCUAGGUAAGGAACCUUGGCCCUUAGUUUUUAGAAUUUUCUAGCAAUUGGUAUCACUUUGGACACCCACGUGCUGCCGGCGCGUGUGGUGGAGCGUAGGAUACAGUAGCAGUCGUUUAUUGGGUCCCAGUGCAAUCCCCUAGUUGGCACGAGCGCAUAGGUCUUUCGGAUUGGAAUUUGGUUACCGUUUGAGUCUCGAACGGAUUUUGCUUAUUGUGCGAUUUUUGGGUUUGUUAUGUUUGGACCUUUGGAUCGAACUCAAACUCACGUAUGGUGUACCUUGUAUUUCUAGGAUCGUCUAGGAUUUGACGGAUCGAGGAUCAGAGUCCCGGAUACUCUGAACUCGCAAACCCUAGGUCAAGAAUCUUAAUAAAAUUGUAUGUGCUUACAAAUAUUCGUAUAUUUUAUUAAUUUGUGUGUGUAUUAAUGAAAUUGUGCAGAUGUCAAAUUUGAUUAGACGUCGUAGGGCGGUGAUGACUACACAGAGUUCGGAGUCCCUGGCUCAGCCGACAUCUACUGCCAUUGCGCCAGCACUGAUGGACCACUUGGCAGUUUGUCCCGCGGGGUCCCAGGCACCUGCUUCAUCGGCUUCAUCAGUGGGGCAGUCUGUUAGAGCCAGGCGGCGUCAUUGGCCCGCUAGCACCACCGACACCACAUCGACUGAUGCGUCGGGGUCACAGCAAGGUAUAGAUUUCCUUAAACUCCAGUUCUUUUUAUUUUUGUUUUUGUUUUUUUGUGUGUAUUUUAUAGUUAAAUUUGUUAUUUAUUUAACAUUAAUGUCAUCUUUCUUUGCAGCCAAGAAGAACACCCGAGGGACGUAUCGGCAGUUGAAGACGGCGAAGGUCACUCAGGUGACCAACAGUCGUAUCAACAUCGGAUACAACAAGAGACAUCGGGCUACACCGAUGGUGGAGUUGCAUAGCUCCUUGGCCCACGACAUUGGUCAUGUUGUUCGGAGCCAUUGCCUGAUGAAAUGGAAGUCUUGGAAGGUCAUGCCUGACGAGAUCAAGACAGAGGUUCACGGCCAGUUGUCGGUAUGUAGGCCUUUUAAUUCUUUUUCUUUCAAACUUUAUAUUUCUAUUAUUUAAAUGUAUGUAAUUAAUUUAUUGCAGACGAACUACAACUUGGAGGACCUCAACGACGAGUCGUUGGUGUACGUCAAAAGACUCUUCUCUGAUAGGUACAAACAGUGGAAGAGCGACUUGCACCACUAUUUUGAGGUGUUUGAUGAUCCACAAGUCGCUCUUCAGGAGGGUUGCCCGAAGGAGCUUGAGGGGCGGAAGGAUAGUUGGGCGUGGCUCUGCACUCACUUUCAGACGCUCGCUUUUGUGGUAAUUUGUAAUAUGAAUUUCAAAUUUUUUAUAUUUCAUUUCAAUUUCAACUAAUACGUUUUAUUUUUUGUAUAACAGAAUAAAGCCAAAGUCAAUAAGGGCAAUAGGAAGAAGAAGACUCUUCUCCAUCAUUCAGGUUCCAGGGCCUUCUCCUAUAGGAUGGAUGCACGGCGGCAGGUAAUAAUAAAAUAAUUUUUAUUUAAUUUUUAAUAUUUAAUUAUUCUUAAUUUAUUUUUUCGUACUAAUAUUUUUCUUCUCUUGUUCAAUUUAGGGGGGGUCCAAAUUCCCAGAGAUCGACGUCUUUGGCAACGUUUAUGUUCGACCUGGGAAUGAGUUGGCCGAGUCCCUUCAUGUAAGUAUUAUUUAAUUUUAAUUCUUAUGUUACGCAUUCAAGUUUAAAGGUUAUUAUAUGAAUGUUUUAAUUUAUAUUUUAUGUUAUGCUAAACAGAUGACGAUGGUGGAGAGGAGCCAGUUGGUUCUUCAGGAGUCCGCCUCCCAACUUCCUCCCGAUACUCCCAUCGAGUCUGUGGAUCCUCCACAGGAUGCUGGAUUUCAGAUCUUGACGGAGACAUUGGAUCAGACUCUAGGGAGGAGACCGGGGACAUAUUGUCGAGGGAUGGGGAAUGCCAGGCAGAGGGAACCUAGACCCCGUUUAUCAACGCAGUCAAACAGUUAGGUCACUACUUUGAUAGCACAGGUGGCCACUCUUCAGAGUCAGAUGUCGGUCAUUCUGUAGUCCCUCGCACAGUCCGGCAUUCCAGUCCCGCAUUUUGAUGCACCGACCUCCAAGCCCGUCCAUCCCGAGCAUCCCCACCAAACAACGGCCCCUGUAGACCCCCAGACCUCUGAACCGCAUGUGCCAGACGACAAUGUAGAUUUUAGAACUUUAUUUGAUUAGUUUUUUUAUUUUCAUAAUUAUUUUUUAAAUAUUUAUCUUGUAGUAUACAUUUAUUUUAUUUUAUAUAAUAAAUGUGUUCUUUACAAUUCAUUUUUUUUAUUGGAAUUUCAUUUUAUUAUCAAAAAAAAAAAACAAAUUUAUUUUUUUAUAAAAUAAAAAAACAAAGGUAAUAUUAAAAUUAAAUAAUAUUUAUAUAUAUAUUAAUUUUGCGUGAUAAAACCUUUCUCGUCGCGCAAAUUCACAUUUUACAAAAUAAAAAUGACACAUUUUUUUUAAAUACAUAUAAUUUAUUCUUGCGCGACGAAGUGUUUCAUCGCGCAAAAAGAAUAUGCGCGACAACGGUUUUUCAUCACGCAAAAGGUGUAGACACGAAUUGCGCAACGAAGAACUCUUGGUGCUGCAAAUGUCUACGACACAUAUCGCGUGACAAAUAUUAUCCUCCGUGCAUUGUUGUGGCGACGAACAUUCUUUCGUAGUGCAUAAGUUCGUGCGACGAACUGUUGUGUCGUCCUUGAACCUUUUGUGCAACGAAGGGUAACCGUCACACAAUUUUGCGCGAUGAAUGAAAAUAUUGGUCGCACAAAGUCUUUCUUCACGCUCUUUGCUCGACAAAUUGUGCACGACGCAUUUUCUGUCGCGCGACGAAUUUGUGCGACUAAGUGUAACUCUGCGCGACGAAAUUAUCUUCGUUGCGCAAAUCGUAAAAUGUGGUAGUGUAAGAAAAUAAAUCUUCUCCCUACAGUUCUCCCUACGAAUUUUGAGGCGGAGUCCACUUACUUUUUAGGGAAUGUGAUUACGGAUUUUGAGGUGGGGUCUAUUUAUUUUUUUAUUCCUGAUUGCAAGUAAACGCAAAGGAAGUCAGGAAUGGAAAUCAUUCCCUUUCCUCUCAUACCCAUUAUUGAUACGUAAACAUGCCUUAAAUGUAAUCAAAGUAAAAAAGAAAAAGAAAUUAAGUUAACUUGAAAAAUAUAAAAUCAAGACACUAAAUUAAACAUAAUGCCCUACAGCUAUCGAAAAUACAAGAACACAAAAAAAAAUUAAAAUAAAGGAUACUUUUACAAAAAAAAUUGAAAUUUAAAAUCGAAAAUAUGAAAACAAAUCUUCUCCCUACAAUUUAAUAUUUUUACAAAAGGAUACUUUUCUUUAAUAAUGAGUAACAAUUAAAUGUGUAACAAAUAGUAAUGAGAAAGAAGAGAAAAAAAAAAAAAAACUUGAAAAUGAUAAAGAUAGAAACAUACUCUCCCUCCUUGAAAUGCCAUCCAGACAAAUUUGCUGCUUCCGGAAGAGCUCUCCUCCACUUGAGCACUUUCUCCUUGUCAUCCUUGAACUUGCGUUCAUGGUGAACAAAUGCAUCACCAUAACUACUUCUUUGGUGUCGUACAUCUGAGGGAUCCACCUUGUAAAAAAAGGGCAAAACUAUUUGUUGCUUUGAUUCUUUACAUUGAAGAAUCUUGACAAGUUCAUCCAAGCACCACCUCGAAGAUGCAUAGUUUUCAGAGAAUACAAUGAUAGAAAUUCUUGAUUCUACAAUUGCUUUGACAAGGGCAGGCGAUAUUUCUUCUCCUCUAACAAGCUCUCGAUCAAUGAAGGUCCGGAUUCCCUUACGAACUAAAGCCUCGUGCAAAUGAUCUGUAAAAUUGGUGCGUGUAUCCUCACCUCUAUAACUCAAA
rnacentral:lncRNA from 1 species